rnacentral:lncRNA from 1 species
CAGAUGUCAUAGAUGGACUAUUCAAACAUAUCAGCAGUACUAUCAGAUGCUCUGCUUACUAAAAGCAUCCUCUUUUGGAUGGAUAACAUACAUAAUAUUACACACACACACGUGUGUAUAUAUAUAUAUAUAUAUAUACACACACACACAUACACACACAUAUGAAAUGUAUUGAUGUAUAUAUGUGAAAUGCAUUGGCAUACAUGUACAUAUACGUGCUUGUGUGUUUUGUGUGUAUGAGAUGUCCUUUGUAAUUUCAAUUUUUAAUGCUUCACUUCUGGCAACAGUCUUUAAUUUUCUCUUGAGAAUCUACACCUCCCUUUGUUUCAUCUUGUUCAAAUGAAGUUGAUUUUUCCCUAGAUUAAGUGCCAAAGUGUGAGCCUUACAUCCUUACCAAACUGAGAGCUUCCUAGAAAUGCUGAAAUCUUGCAUCCUGUCCCAAAUCUACUAAUAAUCUUCAUUUUGACAAGGUUGUCAGGUGAUUUAUUAUAUCCAUUGAAGUCUAAGAAGCUGCUAUAGCCCAAGUCAAUCCAGGCAUUCCACCCACCUGGCCACAGGGGGACAGGAACAGGGCCAACAAGGCCCUAUUUGCAGACUCUAGAUUGGACUUUCAGGAAAGUGGAUUCAGAAUUUUUACCCUGACUUGUUAAAUAGAACCUAUGGAGCUACAUUUACAGAAACCAUUUUGCUUCCCAGAGAUCUGUGAGACAGUGGAAUCUGCACACAAAAAGCAUGUUCUAGAGGGGGAAACUGAUCCCCGAAUAUUAUUUGAGUCCUGGUUAAGCUAUGUUUAAAAUCAGAGGUUUUCCCAAAUUUUCAAUUACGUGAGUCAAAAGAUUUCCUUCACAUUAAUCCUUUGAAUUGACUUUUUUUUUUUUAAC